UACAGAGGUCUCAAGCGUUGUUCGGAUUCAUUGGGCGUAAAGGGUGCGUAGGCGGCGCGGUAAGUCGGGUGUGAAAUCUUGGAGCUUAACUCCGAAACUGCAUUCGAUACUGCCGUGCUUGAGGACUGGAGAGGAGACUGGAAUUCAUGGUGUAGCGGUGAAAUGCGUAGAUAUCGUAAGGAAGACCAGUGGCGAAGGCGGGUCUCUGGACAGUUCCUGACGCUG
rnacentral:rRNA from 1 species